CUGUUUGUCCCUGUGCUGUGUGGCCAGCCCGGGCAGCGUCAGUGAAGCAGAGGAGUGCGGAGUUGAUGGGAGGACCACGUGGAACCUCACGGAAACAGACAAUCAUAAGGCCACCCUUCCGCAGUGUGUUUUGUGGGAGGCGCUCUCCAGAGAACCUGUCACCCACGCACACAGUUACUGCCGCCCUAGCCAGCAUCUCCCAGUUUGAUGAUGGAGGCACACUACCUCCUGCCUUUGCCAGCCCUUAGGAGAGGCUUACGUCCUGCUCUGGGGAGCUCUGGACUGGAGCGGUGGUGAGCUGCAGGUGCACGGAAAGGUGCUACCCACAUCUGCUCCUUCUUCUCUGCUCCUCUUCUAGGCUAUUCCUGUGAGCAACAGGGCUCAAGCCCGUAGGAGACACCACAGAAAAUGCGUUAAAGUUAUCGAACCAAAGGGUGAAACAGUUGAGAUUUUUUUUCCAGCUUUCCAUCUGUCAUUGAUUUGAUGGCUGCUUGCGAGGACAUUAAUUUUCUGGCACUUCUGGCUUGCUCUGCGUGUCGGCCACGUGUGCUCCCUCAGCCAGAAAAAUAAAAAUAGCCCUUAUGUGAUUGCAGUAAGAAAACUUGAUCUCUUAGAGGUGAAUUCUGAGGGGAUACGAACACUGAUACCACAACAUCUACUACGGAGGCACAUACCUGGAAUACGUCUGUCAUAAGGUGGAUUCAAGCUGGCGGGCCUGGGUUUGAAUGCUGAUUUGCUACGUAAUCUUGAUUAAAGCUCAUAAAUUUUUAUAGCUUCAGUGUCUUCAUCUAUAAACAAAAACAAUGCCUCCAUUAAAGGACACUUGUCCAGAUUAGAUGGGGCUAUGAAUGAAUGUAUAGAUUAACACAGAACUAAGCACUUAUGACAGCCUAAUGACUAGAAACUUGUUGUUCAGUGAAGUAUUUACUAAGUAUGUACUAUGUGCCAAGCCCAUGGUAGAUGUUAGAGACGGAGAUGAAUAAAACAAAUGCAAAACCUCA